UCAGGGAAGGACCGGCUGCAGUGCCCUCCCCUCCGGCUCUCACCGGCAGCGCGCUUCUUUCCUCGUCCCCUCGGUGUCGAACACGAAGCGGGCCCUCGGGCAGGCGCAACGACUGAAACGGCUCGGGAUUCGAGGGAAGCGAACGUUGUGCUCGCAGCCAGUCCCUCAUACUCUGAUUGGAGCAUGUCCAGCAAGGAACUCAGGCCCUGUAUAGCCUGGUACUCGCUCCUACAGGAUGAGAUCAUAAGGUUCAUGGUCCGUAAAACUUUUUCCCUCGUGUCAUGUUCACUGGAUGUCAAGAGCUUGGGAACCAUCGUGCACCAGUCCUGUUCCAGCAUAAGAGGCAGCAAAUUAAGCUCAUCAUAUUGACGACAUUUCUCCUGGUGUGGAACACUAUCAUCUUGUGUCCCUUGGAUAAGUUUCUGCGAAAGAAUUCAAACUAGAUUGAAUAUUCACUCAGCUGGAGUUAAUAAUCAAGCUACAGUAAAUUACUUGCCUUGUACUUCAGCUCAAAGUUUUGACCACAUUUAAAAGUGCAAGAUUACAGUUUGCAUUGGAACAAAAGAUUUGUGAAAGCAAACAACUGUCCUCAACUAGCUCAUUAUGCAUCUUAACAUUAACCCGCAUCUACAAUUUGUGUCAACAAUCCAAGAGAGCAGAAUUAAGAAUACUAACAAAAAGCAGCAAACUGGAUGUGACUUUAACAUUGUUAAACUGGAAAAAAAGUUGAAAUCAUUGUGGAACAAAUGACUCAAAACAAGAAUAGAAAGUGGUGACUGUUAGGAGUCAGAAUUGUAUACAUGAUUAAAAAGUCAGCAUGAUGCAAAUUCCAGUUUUUCCAACACUAAAAUUUAGUCUGUUUCCUCACCUUCUCCAUGACCAUGUCAUAGAGCAAAGUCAUGAUUCGAAGACGCAGGGACUCCAUUCCCUUUGCCUGAAACAGCUGCCCAAGUAUCUGCAAGCCUCCAAGUUUCAAAAACUGUUGCUGAGCAAAUGGAAAAUGGCGCAACAAUGAUGAGAACGCAAAGAGAGCCUGAAAAAAAAAGCACAAAUAAGGGAGACAUUUUACCCAUGGACACUUUUGGAAAAUCUACAGUUCUUCUCCCUCCUUACUUUUCCAAAUUACAACUUCCCACUGCCUUGGGGUUUUGGCUCCCUGUUAAAAUAAAAAAAAAAGGGCAUUAUAGUUGAAAGGUUUCUUAGUAGUCUACUAACUUUCCUUUUUAAGAGUUCAAAUCAAUUGUCCUACAGAAUUAGCUCAACUUGAAAAUGGUGUUCAGAUUAAACAUUCUGUAUUCCACCAAUGGGCCCUUAAACUUGACUAUAAAAGGGAGGGUAUCAUGAAGUGAAUAUGUAAAACUGGAACCCAGUGUGGGGAGGCUAACUGGAUACCAGCUUCUACCUAAAACAAGGAGUAGGAGAGAGGAAAUUGUGCUUCAGUUCUGUAAGUCAGAUCUGUUCUUGAGUAAUGCCUUAAGUUUUUGGCACCAAUAAAAAAAGCUUUUCUGA